CCGUCGCCGCCGCCGACCGCCCCGCCGCCAGGAAGGCCGUCACCCUCAAGGACGCCGGCGUCGAGCCGCCGGGCAUCGAACGGGGGAGGGAGGAGAUCCUCGAGGUCCUCGGGAAGAAGACCCGCACCGCCGCCGCCGCCGCCUGAAGCUAAUUAAAUAAAAGGCGUCGUUUUUCUAAUCACAGUUAAUUUAGUCGCUUAAUUUUAGGGAAAAGCUACGAAACGGCAUUCCGUUCGGACGGAGCGAACGGAACAGUUAAUAAAUAAUUAACUUAGGUGUGCUAAGCGAUGGAUAAUGAGCCACCGAUGUCGCGUUUCUGAGUUUUUCCUAAUCUAUCCCGUGCACACGGUAUCUUGUGCUGUAGUCUCCCUUUUAUUUUAUCUUUUUGGGUUUUCUCUUGCGUAAUUUAGGUUUAGUUUUGUUAAUUACUGGCUGCUUUUGUUAAGUGUUUUUCUGAGUCGGCUGUAGUUUUAUCAGGUCGAUGUGUUGUGUUUGGGAUCAAAAAUGUACAUGUGUAUCCAGAAGGGUUGUGACGAAAUAAAGUAAUAGUAAUAAUGAUAAUAAUAAUAAAUGAUGUAGAGCAAAAAAAAUUCCUCUUACGGAA
rnacentral:lncRNA from 1 species